ACNCCGGGUGGUAGAAAGCAAAGUACCAG
rnacentral:piRNA from 1 species